rnacentral:rRNA from 1 species
GGUCAAGUGAAGAAGCGCAUACGGUGGAUGCCUUGGCAGUCAGAGGCGAUGAAAGACGUGGUAGCCUGCGAUAAGCUUCGGGGAGUCGGCAAACAGACUUUGAUCCGGAGAUCUCUGAAUGGGGGAACCCACUCAGCAUAAGCUGAGUAUCUUGUACUGAAUACAUAGGUGCAAGAGGCGAACCAGGGGAACUGAAACAUCUAAGUACCCUGAGGAAAAGAAAUCAACCGAGAUUCCCUUAGUAGUGGCGAGCGAACGGGGACUAGCCCUUAAGUGGCUUUGAGAUUAGCGGAACGCUCUGGAAAGUGCGGCCAUAGUGGGUGAUAGCCCUGUACGCGAAAAUCUCUUAGUCAUGAAAUCGAGUAGGACGGAGCACGAGAAACUUUGUCUGAAUAUGGGGGGACCAUCCUCCAAGGCUAAAUACUACUGACUGACCGAUAGUGAACCAGUACCGUGAGGGAAAGGCGAAAAGAACCCCGGAGAGGGGAGUGAAAUAGAACCUGAAACCGUAUGCGUACAAGCAGUGGGAGCCUACUUGUUAGGUGACUGCGUACCUUUUGUAUAAUGGGUCAGCGACUUAUAUUCAGUGGCGAGCUUAACCGAAUAGGGGAGGCGUAGCGAAAGCGAGUCUUAAUAGGGCGUUUAGUCGCUGGGUAUAGACCCGAAACCGGGCGAUCUAUCCAUGGGCAGGUUGAAGGUUAGGUAACACUGACUGGAGGACCGAACCGACUACCGUUGAAAAGUUAGCGGAUGACCUGUGGAUCGGAGUGAAAGGCUAAUCAAGCUCGGAGAUAGCUGGUUCUCCUCGAAAGCUAUUUAGGUAGCGCCUCAUGUAUCACUGUAGGGGGUAGAGCACUGUUUCGGCUAGGGGGUCAUCCCGACUUACCAAACCGAUGCAAACUCCGAAUACCUACAAGUGCCGAGCAUGGGAGACACACGGCGGGUGCUAACGUCCGUCGUGAAAAGGGAAACAACCCAGACCGUCAGCUAAGGUCCCAAAGUUAUGGUUAAGUGGGAAACGAUGUGGGAAGGCUUAGACAGCUAGGAGGUUGGCUUAGAAGCAGCCACCCUUUAAAGAAAGCGUAAUAGCUCACUAGUCGAGUCGGCCUGCGCGGAAGAUGUAACGGGGCUCAAACCAUACACCGAAGCUACGGGUAUCACUUAGGUGAUGCGGUAGAGGAGCGUUCUGUAAGCCUGUGAAGGUGAGUUGAGAAGCUUGCUGGAGGUAUCAGAAGUGCGAAUGCUGACAUGAGUAACGACAAUGGGAGUGAAAAACUCCCACGCCGAAAGACCAAGGUUUCCUGCGCAACGUUAAUCGACGCAGGGUUAGUCGGUCCCUAAGGCGAGGCUGAAAAGCGUAGUCGAUGGAAAACAGGUUAAUAUUCCUGUACUUCUAGUUAUUGCGAUGGAGGGACGGAGAAGGCUAGGCCAGCUUGGCGUUGGUUGUCCAAGUUUAAGGUGGUAGGCUGAGAUCUUAGGUAAAUCCGGGAUCUUAAGGGCGAGAGCUGAUGACGAGUUGCCAUUAGGCGACGAAGUGGUUGAUGCCAUGCUUCCAAGAAAAGCUUCUAAGCUUCAGAUAACUAGGAACCGUACCCCAAACCGACACAGGUGGUUGGGUAGAGAAUACCAAGGCGCUUGAGAGAACUCGGGUGAAGGAACUAGGCAAAAUGGCACCGUAACUUCGGGAGAAGGUGCGCCGGUGAGGGUGAAGGACUUGCUCCGUAAGCCCAUGCCGGUCGAAGAUACCAGGCCGCUGCGACUGUUUAUUAAAAACACAGCACUCUGCAAACACGAAAGUGGACGUAUAGGGUGUGACGCCUGCCCGGUGCCGGAAGGUUAAUUGAUGGGGUUAGCUAACGCGAAGCUCUUGAUCGAAGCCCCGGUAAACGGCGGCCGUAACUAUAACGGUCCUAAGGUAGCGAAAUUCCUUGUCGGGUAAGUUCCGACCUGCACGAAUGGCGUAACGAUGGCGGCGCUGUCUCCACCCGAGACUCAGUGAAAUUGAAAUCGCUGUGAAGAUGCAGUGUAUCCGCGGCUAGACGGAAAGACCCCGUGAACCUUUACUAUAGCUUUGCACUGGACUUUGAAUUUGCUUGUGUAGGAUAGGUGGGAGGCUUUGAAGCGUGGACGCCAGUUCGCGUGGAGCCAUCCUUGAAAUACCACCCUGGCAACUUUGAGGUUCUAACUCAGGUCCGUUAUCCGGAUCGAGGACAGUGUAUGGUGGGUAGUUUGACUGGGGCGGUCUCCUCCUAAAGAGUAACGGAGGAGUACGAAGGUGCGCUCAGACCGGUCGGAAAUCGGUCGUAGAGUAUAAAGGCAAAAGCGCGCUUGACUGCGAGACAGACACGUCGAGCAGGUACGAAAGUAGGUCUUAGUGAUCCGGUGGUUCUGUAUGGAAGGGCCAUCGCUCAACGGAUAAAAGGUACUCCGGGGAUAACAGGCUGAUACCGCCCAAGAGUUCAUAUCGACGGCGGUGUUUGGCACCUCGAUGUCGGCUCAUCACAUCCUGGGGCUGAAGCCGGUCCCAAGGGUAUGGCUGUUCGCCAUUUAAAGUGGUACGCGAGCUGGGUUUAGAACGUCGUGAGACAGUUCGGUCCCUAUCUGCCGUGGACGUUUGAGAUUUGAGAGGGGCUGCUCCUAGUACGAGAGGACCGGAGUGGACGAACCUCUGGUGUUCCGGUUGUCACGCCAGUGGCAUUGCCGGGUAGCUAUGUUCGGAAGAGAUAACCGCUGAAAGCAUCUAAGCGGGAAACUUGCCUCAAGAUGAGAUCUCACUGGAGCCUUGAGCUCCCUGAAGGGCCGUCGAAGACUACGACGUUGAUAGGUUGGGUGUGUAAGCGCUGUGAGGCGUUGAGCUAACCAAUACUAAUUGCCCGUGAGGCUUGACCAU